GACGAACGCUGGCGGCGUGCUUAACACAUGCAAGUCGAACGCUGAAGCCCAUUCGGGGGUGGAUGAGUGGCGAACGGGUGAGUAACACGUGGGUAGUCUGCCCUGCACCCCUGGCUAAGCCUUGGAAACGGGGUCUAAUACCGGACAGGACACAUAGCCGCAUGGUGUGUGCGUGGAAAGUUGCGGCGGUGCAGGUUGAGCCCGCGGCCUAUCAGCUUGUUGGUGGGGUGAUGGCCUACCAAGGCGACGACGGGUAGCCGGCCUGUGAGGGUGACCGGCCACACUGGGACUGAGACACGGCCCAGACUCCUACGGGAGGCAGCAGUGGGGAAUCUUGCGCAAUGGGCGAAAGCCUGACGCAGCAACGCCGCGUGGGGGAUGACGGCCUUCGGGUUGUAAACCUCUUUCGACCGGGACGAAGGGUGACUGACGGUACCGGUGGAAGAAGCACCGGCUAACUACGUGCCAGCCGCCGCGGUAA
rnacentral:rRNA from 1 species